AACGUGCGGCGAAAUAUUUUUUAGAGUAAUUGAAAAAUGGAGAAAAUGAGGAACUGCGGAUUCAUUCAAAGCCACUGCUCGGAAGCAGAUUGAAGUUCGCCCAAAUAUUCGCGGUGAAGGCAAACUCAGAACCCUGAAGAAAUGUUCUCCAAUCUACACUCGCCUCAAACUGUGAUGCGACCUUUCCUCCUCGCUCCUCUUCUCGUUUUGGAGCCUCUCGUGUCUCCUCAUUUCCUUGAAAUUACCAUUUUCGGACGCUUCCGUUCUCGCUUUCAAUCCCUCUCAGAAAGAACAAACCCCGGAAUCAGAGCCAGAGAUAAAAUCUUGAAUUGGGUUUUUCGUGGGAACCCUAGUUUUGGAGAAAGAUGAACGACGCAGAUGUCUCCAAGCAGAUCCAGCAGAUGGUCAGAUUCAUUCGGCAGGAAGCCGAAGAGAAGGCCAACGAGAUCUCUGUCUCUGCCGAGGAGGAAUUCAACAUUGAGAAACUGCAACUUGUCGAAGCUGAAAAAAGAAAGAUUAGGCAAGACUAUGAGCGUAAGGCAAAGCAAGUGGAAGUUCGCAAGAAGAUUGAGUACUCAACACAGCUGAAUGCUUCCCGUAUUAAAUUUCUUCAAGCGCAAGAUGAUGUGGUGAAUUCCAUGAAAGAUUCUGCUAGCAAGGAACUGUUGCGUGUUUCUAAUGACAAAAAUGGAUACAAAAGACUUUUGAAAGAUUUGAUUGUUCAGGGUUUGAUAUGGCUAAAGGAGCCAUCGGUGUUGUUACGUUGCAGAGAGGUUGACCGUGGGCUAGUUGAGUCUGUCCUGGAGAAAGCAAAACAAGAAUAUUCUAACAAAACAAAAUUACACACUCCUAAAGUCAUCAUCGACAACAGUGUAUUUCUCCCACCAGCUCCAGCCAGUGCCGAUCCCCAUGCUUCUUUUUGCUCGGGAGGAGUGGUGUUGGCUUCACAAGAUGGGAAGAUAGUAUGUGAGAACACUUUGGAUGCUCGUCUGGAUGUCGCUUUCCGUCAAAAACUACCCGAGAUCAGAAAGCUUCUUUUGGGUAGUGUGGGCGUCUGACUGGAACUUCUGAUUGAAGCAGGAAGCUUGGGGAUUAUUUGGAUGGAAUUCGGGCAUAUCUUCAUUCGUUUUUUUUCAGAUUAGAAGACCUUUGGUGUGUUUUGAAAGGCAUUUUUGGCGCGCCUCGGUGCGUUUUGGGACAAAAACGCCUCAAGGCGUAUGUGUAAAGGCGUAAAUCCAAGAAAGCGUUCGCCUCAGCCAACAAAGCGUACGCCUCAGCCAAAAAACCACUCUUUUUUACGCCUCAUAAGCAAGGCGUACGCCUUUCGGUCUCCCGCGAAGCUUCUUCUCCUCUGCUCUGUCGUCGAAGCCUGACGAAGCCUUCGCUCUCUCUUCGAAGCCUGGACGAAGCUCGACGAAGCCUUUGCUCUCUCUCGAAGCCUCUGCUCUCUCUUUUGAAGACUCGAAGAAGGUCGGCGAACCCUCUGCUUUCUCUUUCGAAGCCUGGACGAAGCUCGACGAACCCUCUGCUCUCUCUGCUCUCUCUGCUCUCUCUCUCGAAGCCAUCUGGUCUUUCUCUCUCUCGGCAUCUGCUCUCUCUCUUUCGAAGUCUCACGUGUCUGAGUUCUUUAUUCAUCUCUUAGGUUUUUGUUUCAUAUUUUAAUUGUUUUAAUUCUUGCUGCACCUGUUGAAAUGUCUGAAGUUGAUUCAAGGGACCAAAAAAAAAAAAAAAAGAUUUUCUCCAUUA